ensembl:ncRNA F13H6.11 ncRNA
GUGACCGUCGUUAUCAGUGUGUCGAUCUGAUGACGAUUUGGAACUUGAAACUCGGGGUCGAGGAGAAUGACUGCACAAACAGCAUAUAACAUUAAAGCACAGAGGGCGCAGAGGAUCGGUGUUUCAGGCGAGCGCCAAGGA